rnacentral:rRNA from 1 species
ACUCCUACGGGUGGCUGCAGUGGGGAAUAUUGGACAAUGGGGGCAACCCUGAUCCAGCAAUGCCGCGUGUGUGAAGAAGGCCUUAGGGUUGUAAAGCACUUUCGUUAGUGAAGAAAGGUUUAUGGCUAAUACCUAUGAAUUUGACAUUAGCUAAAGAAGAAGCACCGGCUAACUCCGUGCCAGCAGCCGCGGUAAUACGGAGGGUGCAAGCGUUAUUCGGAAUGACUGGGCGUAAAGCGCACGCAGGCGGUUAUUUAAGUCAGAUGUGAAAGCCCCGGGCUUAACCUGGGAAUUGCAUUUGAAACUGGGUAACUAGAGUAUGUCAGAGGAAGGCGGAAUUUCCAGUGAAGCAGUGAAAUGCGUAGAGAUUGGAAGGAACACCGAUGGCGAAGGCAGCCUUCUGGGGCAAUACUGACGCUCAUGUGCGAAAGCGUGGGUAGCAAACAGGAUUAGAUACCCUGGUAGUCCACGCCCUAAACGAUGUCAACUAGGUGUUGGGCACUUAAGUGCUCGGUACCGCAGCUAACGCAUUAAGUUGACCGCCUGGGGAGUACGGCCGCAAGGUUGAAACUCAAAGAAAUUGACGGGGACCCGCACAAGCGGUGGAGCAUGUGGUUUAAUUCGAUGCAACGCGAAGAACCUUACCAGGCCUUGACAUCCAGAGAACUAAGCAGAGAUGCUAUGGUGCCUUCGGGAACUCUGAGACAGGUGUUGCAUGGAUGUCGUCAGCUCGUG